CUUUAAUUAGUAUAAUAUUGUACAUUUACCUUCCAAGUAAAAAGUCUAGAUUUAGAUUAAAGU
rnacentral:tRNA from 1 species